rnacentral:piRNA from 1 species
CCCUGAAUCAAAUGCCUCAUCCUGGUUUGC